GGUUAAGUUAGAAAGGGCGCACGGUGGAUGCCUUGGCACUAGGAGCCGAAGAAGGACGGGACUAACACCGAUAUGCUUUGGGGAGCUGUACGUAAGCGUUGAUCCAGAGAUUUCCGAAUGGGGGAACCCACUAUCUUUAGUCGGAUAGUAUCCUUACGUGAAUACAUAGCGUAAGGAAGGCAGACCCAGGGAACUGAAACAUCUAAGUACCUGGAGGAAGAGAAAGAAAAAUCGAUUUCCUGAGUAGCGGCGAGCGAAACGGAAAGAGCCCAAACCAAGAAGCUUGCUUCUUGGGGUUGUAGGACACUCUAUACGGAGUUACAAAAGAAAGUUAUAAAUGAAGCGGUCUGGAAAGGCCCGCCAAAGACGGUAACAGCCCGGUAGUUGAAAUGGCUUUCCCUCCAGAGUGGAUCCUGAGUACGGCGGAACACGUGAAAUUCCGUCGGAAUCCGGGAGGACCAUCUCCCAAGGCUAAAUACUCCCUAGUGACCGAUAGUGAACCAGUACCGUGAGGGAAAGGUGAAAAGCACCCCGGAAGGGGAGUGAAACAGUUCCUGAAACCGUGUGCCUACAAGUAGUUAGAGCCCGUUAAUGGGUGAUAGCGUGCCUUUUGUAGAAUGAACCGGCGAGUUACGAUUUGUUGCAAGGUUAAGCGGAAAAAGCGGAGCCGUAGCGAAAGCGAGUCUGAAUAGGGCGCAUAAGUAACAGGUCGUAGACCCGAAACCAGGUGAUCUACCCAUGUCCAGGAUGAAGGUAAGGUAAUACUUACUGGAGGUCCGAACCCACGCACGUUGAAAAGUGCGGGGAUGAGGUGUGGGUAGCGGAGAAAUUCCAAUCGAACUUGGAGAUAGCUGGUUCUCUCCGAAAUAGCUUUAGGGCUAGCCUCGAGGUAAAGAGUCAUGGAGGUAGAGCACUGUUUGGACUAGGGGCCCUUCUCGGGUUACCGAAUUCAGAUAAACUCCGAAUGCCAUGUACUUAUACUCGGGAGUCAGACUGCGAGUGAUAAGAUCCGUAGUCGAAAGGGAAACAGCCCAGACCACCAGUUAAGGUCCCCAAAUAUAUGUUAAGUGGAAAAGGAUGUGGGGUUGCUUAGACAACCAGGAUGUUGGCUUAGAAGCAGCCACCAUUGAAAGAGUGCGUAAUAGCUCACUGGUCGAGUGACCCCGCGCCGAAAAUGUACCGGGGCUAAACAUAUUA
rnacentral:rRNA from 1 species